GGGGGGGGGGGGGGUAUUUUGGCUGAUGCCACAACUUUCAAUGUAGCAUUAAUGUAACCCUAACUAAGCAGGAAACGCUACACCCCGGCUUCCCUUACAAAACUUGAUUAUACAACAUAUUGCAACAUAACUAUUGUAGAUCUCCGUGCGGAUCUCUCUUCUUUCUGUAAAAAGCCAGGUUUUAAUCGCGGAUUCACUUUGAUGGUAUCCUGCAUAAUAGCUGUUCUUCUGCUGUAGUUGGAAUUUUAGACGGGAGACAUUGGAAAGCAGGGGGACAAUGAGCUUCUCCAGCAGACUGCUGACGUUGAUACUCGGAUUUUGCUUUGAAGGCGGCGGAAUAUACUAAGCGCCCUAGCGAUGGGGUCGCAGCGGCUUCCCUGGAAUCGCCGCCGGUGAUUGGGCAGUGUAGUUCUCCCCGCACUACUCGCUCGGCGAGCCCUGGUUGCACACUGGUUGGAGCCGGAGACUCUCGCCUUGCAGUUCAAUGGAGGAGCGGCCCAGCGAGCUGGCCCACGAGAAGCGCUCCCGCCAUGGAGAAGAGAGGAGCCCCGGUCGGCCAAAGAAAUCGCUGAAAAAUGAUUCGAGUCACUGCCAGCAGCAGGAAACGGCGACGAAGAAAACAGGCAAUGGAAAACUAAAUGGUAACAUUACAGAGAGAAAGAAGAUUCUUUCUGCACUCGAGUCAGUUAGCAUCACAUACCCCGUUAAUGGUCAUGGCUACACACAGCUAGAUACAAACUUAAGACUGAGGCAUGCUGGGAAGUUUCUUAGCAAUCUCCCAGUAGAGGGAUGCAAGAGCGUUCCCGGGAAUAAAAACAGCAUGGACAGCAAGAAUGGCAAGCCUUCGGAUUUCAAAACUCACGAGGGCAAGAAAGAGUUUGUGACGCUCCUGAACGGCGUGGUGGGGCUUACUGGACUCCUCACUAAUGGUUAUUCCAGUAAUCUGGCCCCUGACACCGAUGGCAGCGGUUCCGAGAGCGGCUGUGGCACCCCUAAGAAACGCAAAUCCCAACGCGGCGGCAGCAAGUAUGCCGAGGAUGUGACUCUGCCGGCAGCCAUGCAGCAGGGCAGUGCCUCGUCACCUAAGUUGGAAGUGGACUCCGCUCACCUCAAGUCGGCCGAGAAGCCAGUGGGCUUGCAGGCCGACCCCCCCAGGACCACCCCGAAAGCCGAGCCCCCUGCCUUAAUGCGUGCCAGGCCGGUGACGGGCUUGGCGACGGGUGCUUCUUCGGCAGGGGAGCAGGCACGCAAGAACUCAGACGGCAAGGCCGUUGGCUCUGGGAAAAAGCAUGAGGACAGGCCUAGUAAGGCCAAACUCGCCACUGCGGUGAAUGCAAAAGAGGACUCGUGGACUCUGUUCAAACCACCGCCUGUGUUUCCCGUGGACAACAGUAGUGCUAAGAUUGUCCCCAAGAUCAGUUAUGCAAGUAAAGUCAAGGAGAACCUUAACAAAACGUCCCAGGUUGGAUCGGAUGCUCCCCUUCUCCCAGUGCCUGGCAGACCACCCCAGGUUCCCAUGUCUGCAAUGAAAACCAUCACCUCGGCCAGCUUUACCAAUGGCCCCGUCCCUGGACAAGGGAACCAGUGCUCCCAAUCCGGACCCCUCUUCCCCGCUGCUGCUAGUACUGUUCCGCUGGCUCCUUUUCUCUCGGCGGGUGAGAAUGUAGCAUCGUCUUCUGAAGGCAGCGGUGGCAUGCCGGCUGCCCCCUUCGCCACGGUGGGCGAGCACAGGAAGCCCAGCCUUUUUAUUUACCCGCUAGGUCCUCCGAAUAUGCAACCCCCGCUUCCCAGUGGCCGUCAGGCCGAGCCCCCUUCUGUGCCGGGCAAUCAGAAAGCCCUGGGAGAUAUCUUCCAGAACCAGUGGGGACUGUCCUUCAUCAACGAGCCUAGUGCUGGUCCCGACGGGACCGUGGGGCGACAGGCUGCGAAGAACCGGGCCGUGGAUGUUUCUUUCCAGGGGGACUGCGCUGCUGCCCCUGGAACUCGGGCCUCCCUUGCCCCUCUGCAGGGUCUGGAGAACCCACCCAUGCCAAAGGCUUACGACCCAGAUGUGCGGACUAGCCCCCAAACCCUUAGUGUUUUAAAAGCGUGCUCCCCUGCAGGCCUAGCCUGCGAGGGAUGGACACAAACGCAGCCACUCGAACUGGAUGAGCAGGAGGGCGGGGUGGCCAAUAUAGGUGCAAUAGUAUUUCCUUCGUUGAAAGAUGAGGCCCCGCAGGCAUGUCCGGCUAACCCCACGGCGGUUCCUGCCAGAGAGCCGGGUCACUCCAAGGGCUUCGAUAGGGGUUGUAGCUGGGGCUCCUUCGAUCUCAGAGCUGCUGUAACUUAUCACACUACAGAAAUGGAAUAUAUUUUAAAUUUGCAAAAACAAGGUUGCCCUCUAUGUUAAGUACAAUGUUGAGCCUGCAGCCAGGCACUUUCACCCCUUCACAUUUGCGAGGGUAAAAGGCAGAAGAUGCUCGUGGAAAAUUUAUCCAAAAAGAGUUGUCCUUUAUGACAAGAGCCAAGAUGGACCCAAUCAGUGAGGUCGGCACAGUCACAUGACCUUCACCCGAACACUACCGCGAGACGAGGCUUGUGGGGCUGCCUUCGGCUCCUUUUGUCAGACUCAGUAGAUUCAAAACUAAUCACAAUCGUCACUCGCAUAGAGGAACUGGAGACGUAUCCUGUAAUAAAUGCAGCAGAGUCAUGAGAGAACACAAGCAGAGAGAGGAAGAGGAGGGAAGGCCGGCGUGAGAGAGGAAGAAAAAUCCGAUAUACCGGGAUGGCCUCCCCCUGGAGACCUGGAGCUACUGUGCGGCCAUCAAAGGGCGUGUGGCUGCCCAAACCCGAGCAAAGGGUUUCUCCUUAUCCUCCGGUACAGACUCCAGUACCCAGAUCUGAAGACUUUGUUACUCUUCACCCAUGUGAAGACGAAACACCUUAUGCUGUGACAGACACUGGGUUCACAGCACUGUGGGGGUGGGAGAGGUAAUGGGGACAUUGUUCCCAUUUCCCGAGCCUUUCCAUGGGGGGGGAUGGGGAUCAUAAUCAGAUUCUGCUCUUAAUUUCCUUUUGAAUCCAGGUUGACUGAUACAGGCAUUUUUUUGUGUGACAAAUUGAAAUUCAUAAUAGAGGAAAAGGUGAUUUCAAGAGGAUGCCUUGGGGAAAAAAAAUGGAUAAAACAACAGGAGGAACUGUACAUCCAGUCUUUCUGCAGGUUAAACAAAAGCAUAGCUUCUUGGUAUUUGAGCAUGGAAAGAUGUCGGGCCUUGGGGGAAACAGUUGUCUUAACUUUAUUUUGGAAAGGAGAUCACACCGUACAGUAUUGAUGGACCGUCUUGUUUGGCAGUGCCUGUGUUUUUGUUUAGUUUUUUUUCUUUUCCGCUGUUGGACGACAGACGAAACAGAACCAGAAUCGCAGUUGGAGAGUGGCAUGUCCGGGUCCGGACAAGUGACACAGGAGUUUCCUGCUCCUCUACAUCUUCUGUUCUGAACUGUUAAGCUGCUGUGGUCUAAUGGUGUCGCAGGUUUCUGUUGAUUUUGUAAACUUGACCCCCCCAUACAUAGAUCAGUAUUUAAUUAACUUAAAGUGGGAGAAUCUGAGUCAAUGUAGUAAUUGUUUCCGUGUCGCUAUACUACAGUUGUGGAGUUUGGAUAAACGAUGGAGAGGUUCGAUGGGGCACAGAGGCUCCAUUGCUUUUCCUUUAUCAAAUUGAAGCUUAUGCAACAUGGGAUCACCUAGAACCAAAUUAAACGUGCUAGCGUGUAUUUCAGUCAUAUUAGUAUCUCGUUGCACAAACAGGUGUAGUCUUUUUUUGUUUAAAUUGGCUGUCUAAAAGUGAUGCUUUUUUUAGCGCCAGAUUCAACAUCAUUUUGCAUUGUUUUGUCUUGCUCUCAAUCAUUAGUUCGCUUGGACAAUAUCUUCCCCUUUCCCUCCCGGUGAAUUUUAUAUAAUCUGUUUAUGGUUAUAGAAGUGACUGGUGAAGAAAGGAACCUUGCGGAAAGCAUUCGUUUGUCAGGCGAGUGGCUUACUGUCCCCGGGGUCCCUGCUCACCCAGUCUGAUCGCUGUAUCGCUCGCUGUAUUUCUGAAAUCUCCCCCCCCCGUAUUCAUGUGACACGGGGGUCAUCUCCCAGCCCGAAGCUGCAACUGCAUCUUCUCAGUCUCGCUAAUUAAUUAAAAUUGACCAUUUCUUUUGCUUAUUGUCUCCCCCCCCCCCCCCCCCCCCCCCGCUCCCAUAACUUAUUUGAUUAUAACAAAAUUAGCACUUUAUGUAAACUAAAUUCUUCUUCUAGAAAUAGAUCUAUAUAUGACUAUGACAAUAAGUAGAUAAAUACUAACCCUGGUUAAGAAUGGCUUUUGGCUGUUUGUUUUUCUAAAUAAAAACAAAAUAUUAAAAAGAGACUCAGGUAGUAUUAGUUAAAGCCAUUAUUUCACAAAGUAUACCAAUACAAACAAUUAUUGCCAAAAAUCACUUAAAAGCUGGUUAUUUGCUUUCCUUUCUGGUUUUUGUUUAGUUUCAGCUUCCCCAAGGGAUUUGAAUAAUUUGUGCUUAAUCUACAGUUGUUCAAUACCAAAUUGCUACUGGGGACAUAACUUUCAUUUUAAUUUACAAGGUUAGCAAACAUUACUAAAUGUACUUUUCACGUCCAUGUCCUCGUGUCGGCCGUUUGUCGGAAUAAGUAUCGUUUGCACUCGUCCGUGUUCGUCAUUUUGUUGUUCGCCGCACUGUGUGAUGUCUUGUAAGUUUGUUUGGGUCUUUUUUGCUCUGCCGGCCUGGUGAUUCUGUCAUUGCCAGUGUUUCUCAGUCUGAUCCCGCCAGCCUUUCUUGUGGUGUGGCAUUCCAGCUCCCCGCCCAGGCUGGGGAGUCUGUCUGUCCCAUUUCCCCACUUGUGUCGGUUGUUCGCAGGUGGCCUGCCUAGAAAGUGGACAGUCCAGGCCUCUGGACUGACCCUAUAAUGAGGUGUUGUGAGUUCAAGCUGGUGUUUAGUCUAUCUUUUUUUUUCUUUCUUCUUUUUAACAUUGUCUGCAAGCCUAUCAGCUUGUGGAUUGGUAUCAUUGUAGUUUUCUCCGCUUGUCUUUCAGAUCAAACCAGCUUCUGCCUGCAUACAGGGUCUGCUGCUUCAAAUCCUUAGUCACAGGUUUCGGUUUGUGCUCUAUGUAUGUAGAACGUACUGAGCCCUUUUUAAUUAAUCUUAGUCCCUAAAGAGUUUGCCUUUUGUUUAGCCCAGUGCUGUUACCGGUGGUGCUCUCCAAAUUACCCAGAAGGCUAAGCAGCACCUCGUCGAUGUGUGAGCUGCAGAGUGCCCCAGCUAGUUCAGUAAAGGCAAGUGUCUGUAAAACUGGGUCUGCCGUGUCUUCAAGAGUUUACCUCAUUACCUCUGUUACGUAUGCAUCGCAGAUGGUGGGUCUGCUCCCCCCAAUCACCUGUUCAUAAAUGGCUGCCCCCCCCCCCCCCCUUUUUUUAUGAUUGCGGAAGACAACUGCUUAGUUUUGCACAGUGCAACAGUAGCAGGUCCACUGUGGUUCUGGCCAGCUGUUGCAUUUUAUGUCGUGUACCUCAUUAGUUAGCACGCCAAGCGGGGGUGGGAAUAGAGGCCGUGGCUUGCACAAAGCCAGAGAGAUAUCUGGGUCAAGUGUGACUAUACAACUUGGCAUUAACACAUUUGCAAAGAGAAAAAAAUCUGGUUUUUUUGAGGGGGGGGGGGGGGGGUCCGAUUGAGAGGCCUUUUUGUUUCCUACAGCUUCAAAACCUGGGGGAGCUACGAAGAAUAAUGGCGCCACGCUUCGGGAUAUCAAGGCCUUAGGGCCGGGUUUCAGUGAAAUGGAAAGGCAGACUCUCUCAGUCCACGCUCCCGUAGGGCGUGGAGAAGCGCAUGUGAUCACCGGAAUGUACGUCUUUCUAGAUGUGUUCCUGUGAAAUUUCAAAAUGAGGAAUUAAAAAUGUUAGUGUGGUGUGUGUGAAAUGGGGCUGAAAUACUGUGAAUUUUUCAUUUCUUAAUCUGAUUCUUCACUUUGCCCCCUAAAAUCAUAUUGAAAGCACUUACCAAUUUGAAGCUUGUUUUAUAUAUUGGUGAUAUUUCUCCCUUUUUCGAUGGCAACGUUAAAGCCCACAAAACCGGAAGUUGGUAGGCACCAGACCAGCUGUCUGCUCGUUUGGGUCCAGAAGGUGUGAGAUUGGUAGUAUCUGUGUGCAUGUCUUAAAAGUACAGAUUGGAUGGUAGAUCAUCCUGUUGUUAUAACGGAAUGAUGUGGAAUCGCAAAAAUGCUGGAAUGAGUCCCAUCGGCAGGUCUGUCAUGUCUCGUGUUGAUAAUAUCUCACACUUCUCAUCCGGAAGCAGUUAGCCGUGGUUCAUUCUGAUGCCUGAAAGCUUGUGUGUGUGUGUGUGUGUGUGUGUGUGUGUGUGUGUGUGUGUGUGUGUGUGUGUGUGUGUGUGUGUGUGUGUGUGUGUGUGUGUGUGUGUGUGUGAUUUGCAAAUGCAAUAUGCAAAUGUCCCUGUGUCUAUUGAUAAUCCUGACACACUGCACAGGAUUCUUAUGCUAAACAUAAUAGAUUUGACUACUUAUAAUUUGUGCCACGCUAAGCUGUACUAUGCUGUAUGAGACAUUGCUAUGCAUUACUUUAUUUUUGCUUUGUUUAUUUUAGUAGUUAUUGGGGGGGGGGGGUGGUAGCAUCAAUUGGAUAUAAAUCCAUUACUGCUGACAAACAUACUGGAAACAAUAAGUUUUAUUUCUUGAGGUGGGUGGGCAUUGUUUGCUUCUUCCUACUAAAGUGCUGAUUUGGUGCUUAUUGUUUUCAGUUUUUGCCAGUCAAUCUCAAAGACCCUUAACAUCCGGUUCUUUUUCAUGUGAUCCCAAUGUUUUAAGCAUAUGGUGAAUAGUCUGUUCAGUUUCUUAAAUUUCACUUUUUUUUAUUACAUGCACAGUAUAAUUUUUAAUUCCUCCACUUAAAGGAGAACGAGGGCUUUCAUAAGGAGAUCAGAUAUCACACACUGCAGAGGCAGUUAUUAAUGAUUUGGUGGUAUUUGUGGUAACUGAGCGGUGAGGAUUGUGUCACUGCAGGACUGUCACUUUUGAUUUCGACAGAAACUGUCAUCUUGUCCGGAUGGGUUACACAUGUACGGCUCAGAAAUAGUCUUUCAAUGCAGGCAGCCCUUGUAUCAUGGAGGAGGGAAAGGGAGAGUUUGAAUGUAUUGCUGUGCGGGAGUCAAAUGCCCCCCACCCCCUUUAAUUUGACAAUAUUCUGAAAUAUGUUCUCUUUGUGGGUAGGGAAAUCAGUAUAAAGUGCAAAUAGUACUCCUAUCUGGGGUGAACAUUGGGUCAUGUUUUCCAUUCUCAAUGCUUUUGAGUUCAUGAUUUUUUUUUCUCUGCAUGUGUGAUGGUUAUGGUCGGUUUGAACCAAUAGUAAUCUUUUGGGGGGGGGGGGGUAGUCAAACAGAAGUCAAAGUAACUUGCAAAAAAAAAAACACACACACAAGGCACACAAAGUUUAAUUUGUGAACGUUCCAUGUUUUUAACAAAGAACGCUGUGCAUGCACCAUUAAUUCAAGCCUUUAUCCCACUGGAAAAAUUGAACUGGCAAUUCCUUCUGUUUGACACUCCUGUCAUCCUAGCUCCAAUGUCUUUUGUUUUUAUUUUAAAGAAUGAGAAUUCCCUCAAUUGUCUGGAAUAUUGACCCAAAUUGAAAUCUGGGCACACUGCAUUAGAUGUUUUGCUCAAUAGGUUUACAAUUGUUAGACCGACCCAAAGCAGGCAACGUACACUAAUGAGCAUAAUCAACUCAUCUUUAAUUAUGCUUACCUCUUUUCAAUAAAGUACACUAAAAAAUAUUUUUACCGCUUCAGUUGUUUGCAUCAUUCUCUUUUCCUUUUGGAUAUUUUGUUUUUUUUUUUUCUUCUUUACAGAAGUGAUAUUGCCCCCAAUGAAACGGGUGAAUUCUGUUGUAUAAUGGACAGGUCCACAGAGCAGACUGUUAUUACUCAUGGCUGGCAAAUCUUACUCUGUUACCUGUAAUACAGAGAUUUAUGGGUCUGUUUGGUGGUUCACAAUGGUAAUAUUCUAUAAUGGAGUAGAGGAAAGGGAGGGUGGCAGCGGGAACACCUGCAUAGAGACGGAUGCAGUGACACUGCUAACUGGGCUCACUUCAACGCUUUGUACUUGAACUCCAAGCACCUAACUGACCAGUGCUUGUAUAAUGCAUUUAAAAGGAAGAGGUUUUUUUUUUUUUUUUUUUACAUUUGUGGGGAAACAAACGUCCGUACUGUUCUAAUAACGAAUCCCUUCUGCAAUUGCAUUUGUGCUUCUGUGCGCUUUCUAUUUGCUGGUCGGUGUGUUGUGCCUUGGGUUCGAGUCUCUGCUCCUGAAAUGGUACCAAUCAACUCUGUCCGCGUAGUCUGCUGGAAGCCUUUGCAGGCGGUCGUCUCGCUGGAAUUCCAUUCCCAUGAGGAAAUGGACUGUUGCACAUUUGCCUCCACAGGGUCCACUCAGUUCACUGUCACCACUAAAAUGAGUUAUCGGGCGUACGAUUCGGCUGCGGUGGGACGCGUCACGGGAGAGUGUUUCGGAGAGGGAAUCGAAUUUUGUCACAACAGGGACACCGCAGGAAUGUUUAUGACCCAAGAAGCACCUCCCCACAUCCAGUCCUACAUGACUUGCACUUGUCUGUGUACCACAAGCUUGAAGGCGAAGAAAGCGCCCCGCCCCCCCUCCACCACACGCCAUGCGAGUCCUGUUGCCAAAAAUGCUGUUGGCGUUGCACCUUGUCUUCCGAUUACGCACCACCACCUAAAGUCAUCUUUGAGAGUGUCUUUGGGGGGCGUCACUCUCGAAACACCUCGAGCUGCUGUUGUGACACUAAAAUCUGUGUGCCCCACCCAUGGCUUACGCUAACUCAGUUCCUGAUUGUUCACCUUCCCUUUUGCAGACACGCGAGUCCUGUCCCACUUCAGCCUAUUUCCGGUAUACUUGGUUCUGAUUUUGUAUAUGUAAGUCGACUGACAAACAGUGCUUGCUGGAAAUACUAAUACGAUUAAAAUCUUUCUUUUUUGUAAAUUAACUGCCGUCUUGCUUAAAAAAACAAAAACGCUUGUGAUGUCUGCAACCAUUGUCUCCAAUAAAACCAUGGAACUGCUC